AUGACUGGCGGCAACGACUACACUAUCAGUAGCUAUUUUACGUGCAAUGCCACGCUGCACCCCUAUGUGCACAACCUCACCUCCUCCUACACAGACCAGAAAAAUGAGGCUUUCACGGUGACCACAAGCAUCGUCAUGUUCAUCCUCGCGGCUCUCUUCUUCAACCUAAAUCUCUUCAGCCGGCUCUCCAACGUGAGCGCCAUCCUCAACCCCACCGUCCGCCUCUUCCUCUCCACCUCGCUGUCGCUUUUCCUCCCCGUCAUGUCCUACCUCUUCUCCGAGGCCAAGAAGGAUAAUGCCACCACCAUGACCGGUACUGGUACUGGUUCAAGUCAGCUGGGCGCCGAGCUGUCACUCCGAGCCCGCACGAUCCUCAUGUGGAUGCUCCUUGUGGAGCUCCUCCGCAAGAAGGUGGAGGCCAUCCUGGUGAACGUGGGCAUGCAGUGGUACUCGGGCACCAUUGAUCGCGCAGCCCGCAUCGUUUGGCUGGGCUACCUCGUCUUCUACAACGUCAAAAGCACCGGCAAGAGGGUAAUCUACGGCACCUUGUGGGUGCUUGCGGCUGCCAAGUUGCUGCAGAGGGUCGCCAUCAACGAGCUGCUCAAGCGUUCAUUUGCCUAUGGCAGGAACGCCCAGCUGCUUAACUCGUACAUGACCCAGAUGCUACACGAGGAAGAGCGGCGGCAGCUGCUGCAGCAGCAGCAGCAGCGGGACGAGGUUGGGGGAUCGGAGCUGUUGAAGAUGUGUAGGUACCCCGUGAUAGGAGAAGACAACCUGGAGAGGAAGGCUGGCCCGGACGGCUACCACCUCCAGCUCCCACGAAAGAACACCACCGACGACGCCGCUGACAGCGACUCUACCACCGACGACUCCCACGCCGACGCCGACUCCGCCACCGUUACGGUGGGCGAUAUUUGGAGCCUCCCAGAUGACAAGAAGGACAAGGGCGGGCUCCUCCUGGAAGACCCAAGACUGAAAAGGCUGUGCCUCUCCUUUGCACUCUACAAGCUGCUGCGCCGGAGGUUCGAGGAUCUCCCCAUCACCGGCGCGGAAACCCACAACUGCCGGAACCUCAUCUUCAAAGGCCUGCACAAGGAGCUGCUGCUUCAAGGUGUGAAGGCUACAAAACCCCAAGGCUUGGACGUGGAGCUACAAGGUGCGGACGUCGCAGCUGCACUCUUCCAAGUGUUCGAUGAAGAGGUCCAGUUCCUUUGCGAGUACUACCACUCUUUUCUACCCGUCGUCCUUUCCAACCCCUUCUUCUUUUUGGCCAACUACAUCCUAUUUCCCAUCCUGGUAUGGGCCUUCUGCAUCCUGACCUUCAUCCUCUGCGGCAACGGGAACGUGCACUACGCACUCCAGAGCAUCAAGAGUGACAACUACAUCAUAUCAACCGGCGCCAUGACGUUGACCAGAUGCCUCCUGAGGAGGAUUGGCCAUUCCCCGGAGGUGCUCUUCGCCACUAUCGACCUAAGCAUCACAAUCCUGCUCUUGCUCACCUUCCUCUAUGAGCAAGUCUGGGAGUACCUUGUCUUCAUCCUCUCCAACUGGCUCAUGGUGUCGCUACUCUGCCAUUACACCGGCAAGCGCCAGUGGCGCCAGAGCCGCGGCUUGACAAGGCUCAUCCACUGCCUCCUGUGGGUGCGGAGCAAGUUGAGCCACCGCAACCUCUGCUUCAAGCAGUACUCCGUGCUAUGCUUCUGUCCUUUGUUGCCUAACAAGGCAGUACCAAAGGAAGUGAAGAAGUCCAUCCUGGACUACCUGGUUACUCACAUUGAUGGCCAUGGCGAUGGCGGCCACGCUGCCCCUCUCACUAAUGGUUGGUCCAUACUGCAGUCGGACAAGCACAGCCAGUAUCGCAGCCUGCUGGCAUCGGCGUGCGAGAACAAGAGCGGCGCCGAGGUCAUCCUCAUCUGCCACAUCGCCACCAGCCUCUUGGAGGUGAGGUACCCGAUGCAGAACAAGACAUUGAUGGGAAGUCAUCGCAAGGUGGCAACGACCUUGUCCAAGUACUGCGCUUACUUGGUGGCCCAGUAUCCGGAGCUGCUCCCCGAAGAUAAGGACGGGACGGAGCUCACGUACAAGGAGAUGGUGGAAGAUUUGAAAAAGGAGCUUGGGGGCUGUUGGAGGUACCACCUGUCGCGGCAGAGCACCCGGUACAAGAAGCUGAGGGAGAUCGGCAGACCGAAGCAUGCGACGGUGGUGGUGGAGCCGCCGCCGAUGACGACUGUGCAGACGGGAGCAAAGUUGGGGAGGAAGCUGAUCCACGGGGCAAAUGAGCAUGACGCGCGUGUGUGGGAGCUACUGGCCGACUUCUGGACGGAGCUCAUGGUGUACGUGGCGCCAUCGAGCAGUGAGGUGCACGUGAAGGCGCACAAGGAGGCCCUGGCGCAGGGCGGUGAGUUCGUCACCGUCCUCUGGGCACUGACCACGCACACCGGCAUAACCAGGCCGGCCGUCAAGCCAUGGACCGUCAUCCCGAUCCAAGAUGUUGAGGAUACAACGUCUCCUCAAAGUGUGUAG
rnacentral:rRNA from 1 species